rnacentral:rRNA from 1 species
GACGAACGCUGGCGGCGUGCUUAACACAUGCAAGUCGAACGGAAAGGCCCUGCUUUUGUGGGGUGCUCGAGUGGCGAACGGGUGAGUAACACGUGAGUAACCUGCCCUUGACUUUGGGAUAACUUCAGGAAACUGGGGCUAAUACCGGAUAGGAGCUCCUGCUGCAUGGUGGGGGUUGGAAAGUUUCGGCGGUUGGGGAUGGACUCGCGGCUUAUCAGCUUGUUGGUGGGGUAGUGGCUUACCAAGGCUUUGACGGGUAGCCGGCCUGAGAGGGUGACCGGCCACAUUGGGACUGAGAUACGGCCCAGACUCCUACGGGAGGCAGCAGUGGGGAAUAUUGCACAAUGGGCGGAAGCCUGAUGCAGCAACGCCGCGUGCGGGAUGACGGCCUUCGGGUUGUAAACCGCUUUCGCCUGUGACGAGGCGUGAGUGACGGUAAUGGGUAAAGAAGCACCGGCUAACUACGUGCCAGCAGCCGCGGUGAUACGUAGGGUGCGAGCGUUGUCCGGAUUUAUUGGGCGUAAAGGGCUCGUAGGUGGUUGAUCGCGUCGGAAGUGUAAUCUUGGGGCUUAACCCUGAGCGUGCUUUCGAUACGGGUUGACUUGAGGAAGGUAGGGGAGAAUGGAAUUCCUGGUGGAGCGGUGGAAUGCGCAGAUAUCAGGAGGAACACCAGUGGCGAAGGCGGUUCUCUGGGCCUUUCCUGACGCUGAGGAGCGAAAGCGUGGGGAGCGAACAGGCUUAGAUACCCUGGUAGUCCACGCUGUAAACGGUGGGUACUAGGUGUGGGGUCCAUUCCACGGGUUCCGUGCCGUAGCUAACGCUUUAAGUACCCCGCCUGGGGAGUACGGCCGCAAGGCUAAAACUCAAAGGAAUUGACGGGGCCCCGCACAAGCGGCGGAGCAUGCGGAUUAAUUCGAUGCAACGCGUAGAACCUUACCUGGGUUUGACAUGGAUCGGGAGUGCUCAGAGAUGGGUGUGCCUCUUUUGGGGUCGGUUCACAGGUGGUGCAUGGCUGUCGUCAGCUCGUGUCGUGAGAUGUUGGGUUAAGUCCCGCAACGAGCGCAACCCUUGUUCACUGUUGCCAGCACGUUAUGGUGGGGACUCAGUGGAGACCGCCGGGGUCAACUCGGAGGAAGGUGGGGAUGACGUCAAGUCAUCAUGCCCCUUAUGUCCAGGGCUUCACGCAUGCUACAAUGGCUGGUACAGAGAGUGGCGAGCCUGUGAGGGUGAGCGAAUCUCGGAAAGCCGGUCUCGGUUCGGAUUGGGGUCUGCAACUCGACCUCAUGAAGUCGGAGUCGCUAGUAAUCGCAGAUCAGCAACGCUGCGGUGAAUACGUUCCCGGG